rnacentral:snoRNA from 1 species
ACCCUCAGGUUCAUAAGUGUGAUGAUUGGGUGCUCAUGCUCCAUGCAUGACAUGUGCCUCCUUUGAACCUUGUUACGACCUCAGCACAUUACCCAUCUGACG